AUUGAACGCUGGCGGCAGGCCUAACACAUGCAAGUCGAGCGGAUGAAGGGAGCUUGCUCCUGGAUUCAGCGGCGGACGGGUGAGUAAUGCCUAGGAAUCUGCCUGGUAGUGGGGGAUAACGUCCGGAAACGGGCGCUAAUACCGCAUACGUCCCGAGGGAGAAAGUGGGGGAUCUUCGGACCUCACGCUAUCAGAUGAGCCUAGGUCGGAUUAGCUAGUUGGUGGGGUAAAGGCCUACCAAGGCGACGAUCCGUAACUGGUCUGAGAGGAUGAUCAGUCACACUGGAACUGAGACACGGUCCAGACUCCUACGGGAGGCAGCAGUGGGGAAUAUGGACAAUGGGCGAAAGCCUGAUCCAGCCAUGCCGCGUGUGUGAAGAAGGUCUUCGGAUUGUAAAGCACUUUAAGUUGUGAGGAAGGGCAGUAAGUUAAUACCUUGCUGUUUUGACGUUACCAACAGAAUAAGCACCGGCUAACUUCGUG
rnacentral:rRNA from 1 species